GACGUAGGGUGCAAGCGUUGUCCGGAUUUAUUGGGCGUAAAGAGCUCGUAGGCGGCUUGUUGCGUCGACUGUGAAAACCCGCGGCUUAACCGCGGGCUUGCAGUUGAUACGGGCAGGCUAGAGUUCGGUAGGGGGAGACUGGAAUUCCUGGUGUAGCGGUGAAAUGCGCAGAUAUCAGGAGGAACACCGGUGGCGAAGGCGGGUCUCUGGGCCGAUACUGACGCUGAGGAGCGAAAGCGUGGGGAGCGAACAGG
rnacentral:rRNA from 1 species